GGGGUCCAUCUAAUCCAGUAUAACUCUUCUUGGUCUUUUCCAUCUCUGAUAACCUGAGAUGCCAGAGACUGAAUCUGGCAUCCUUUGCACAUGCAAAGUGUGUGUUCCUCCAUUGAGCUUUGCAGCCACUUCAUGAGAAUUGCUUAGAUAAGUAGAAAAAUACAGGCAACUCUCUUAAACCUAAUCUCAAUGUAGCCUACAAGUACAUAUGGGUCAGGACUGUCACCUAGAUAUGUAAACAAAGGGAAAGUGUUGCAUAUAUAUUUGGGAUAAUUUCUAAUUUGGGAUUUGGAGGGUUCAUGCAGAUUGCUUCUGACAUGCUUCUGAGAUACUUAAAAAACCAUUUCCGUUCUUUACAGUUUCAUAAAUAAUAGUAAACAUACACCAAAACACUCAGGGUUUCUCUGGUGACAGAGAGGACACAAAACCUCAUUUCAGCCCUGCUGGCAACUGCUUGGCUAUUCGUGUAACUUUCAUCUAGUUUGCUCAUACCAGCAAGACAUGAAGGCAGAUGCAGUUUCCUCCUUCAUGUAUGUGUGUGUUUUCUUUUUAUCUCAAAACAUUGGAUUAUAUGUAGUUAUCUGUAAAGUUAUCAAGACCUCCUGAGCAACACCCCCCCCAAGCAUUAAUAUUCCCAGGCUUUUCAGCUCCAUGCUCAAUAGCACAUUUUGCAAAAAGAAAAGAAAACUUGCUGUGUAUUGGUGUCAUGUGCAGAUGCAUAACUGACCCAAGAGAUGAAUGAAUCCAUUUCUGCACUCGGGAGAGUGUAUUGUCAGGUUACCCUUUUGUCCUUGUGUAAGGAGAAACAGGUAUAUUCUGUUCAUUUUACAUCAGCAACCUCAUGGCAGUAGGUGUUGGCACAGUCAUAGAGUGAUCGGCAGUAGUAUUGCAAUGCAGCCCAAUAAGCAAUAUAGAGAUGCUUCCACAGAGCAUCUAAGUGCAUAUGUGCUUGGAACAGAUACAUUCAGAUAAAUAUUAGGAAGUGGUAGAGACUCUUUGGCGGGAUGGGGAACCAUCUUCCAUCUUAGAUAUUACUGAACUACAACUCCCAUCAGCCCCAGCAGGCAGGGCUGAUGGUCAGGGUGAUGGGAGUUUUGGCUCAGCGACAUCUAGAGGUCCAAAGGUUCCCUAAGGACUGUGCUAAAAAAUGAACAGUCCUUCUAAUAAUAAAUCCCACCCACCCCCACUCAAAAUCCCUGGUGGAUCUGCUGCUUCAUCUGAAUCUGAAUCUAACCAAUGGCAACAAUUGAGGCUGGUUUAUGCUGGGCUUUAUGAUAAUCUGGUUCCAGCUGCCUGACUAGACAAAGGUGACUGGAAAAUACAUAGGCUAGAGCUUGUCUACACAAACAGUAGGUCAGGUGGUCAAGGGUUGAGAGGGUCAUAGGCGAAAUGUCCCUUGGUGGGCCCCCUUCUGACAGACACUCCAAGCUGUGCCAGGUAGACAGGUCUAGCCAGCCUUUCCCUUUCCCCACAAAAGGCAUUCCAUAGCACUGAAUGUUAGGGCUAUUAAGAUUUGUUAAGAUUACUGGAGUCUUACUGGAUCAUGCCAAUACCUAGUAUCUAGUCCAUUGUUCUGUUCUCACAGGGACCACUCUGAUACCUAAAGGAAGCCUAUAAAGAGGACAGGAACACUGGGAGAACUGAAGAAACAGUCACCCACCCCAAACCUGCAAUCUGAAGGGGCUGAAAUGGUAGAGUUUUAAAGAAGCCAGCUGCUGGCUGCUACCAUGAAGAACAGAACAUGGACAUGGAUACUGAUGCCCAGUUGUAUCAGCAGGGCCAUUUGUUUGAUGGUUCUGAUAGUUUUAUGAAGUAUAGUGAGUUCCUGGAUCACCAGCCUCAAUUUGUAUUGAGCCAUGAUGGGCCAUGACCCUCAUAUGCAUUCCAGAGCAUUCAGGGGAAUAAUUGCCCUGCAAAAACACACUGCAAAGAACCGAGUGCAUUUCUCAAAACAAAAGCACAUUGUACCUCCUCUUCCAUCACAACCCACUUGUUUUGCAUAGUGAGUUGCCAUACCCCUAUAGGCUUGCAGAGACUGGCCAAGAAGCUGGGCUAAUGACUAGAGAAACUCUAAGCAAGAGGGCUGUAUGCUCCGGGAAGGCCCAAUUCCCCCCAUCUAGUUUUUGCUUCGUCAUUUGUUAUUUGGUAGCUGUUUACAAUAGUGUCCUAGGAAUAGUGUAUGGUAAUGUAUAUUUAUAAGUGAACACACACCUGUGCCUGAUGGCUUUCUGUAUUUUACACACAUUUUAGUGUAAAACAUCAUGCCUUCAUUUCGCAAUAUCUUUGAGCCCUGCAGCCUUCUGCUGGUUCUUAAAAGCCUUCUGCACUUGGGGUGCUUUGUAAUAUAGGCCAAGAGCAGUGCUUUGGGGGGGGGACGCAGGGGUACGCAGACCCCUCAACAUUUUGUGAAUCUUUGUACUUUUGUCCAUUUACUGUAUUUAUUUCCCCCGAUUUGAACUAUAAAAUUGUGAUUUUCUAGAGUCAAAAUGAGAGUACCCCUAAACACCUUUUUUAGGAAAUAAAGCACUGGCUAAGUGUCAUGUUUAGGAUCAGUUUCCACAACAUGGAACACAAAGGUUCUCACCCACUUUAGGCAAUUAGCAUUCACACCUCGCUUAAUCCAAGCAAUAAUGAUCAGAGCUCUAGAAGUUAAGUCGUGUGUUAAGCAAGCUUCUUGAAAAAAAGCUUUAUGUAGCCAAGCAGAAGGAAAACAAACUUCGUGUAUGACUAUAAAGCUUGUCUUCUCAUAAUCUUUUAUUUUGCAAAUUUAAACAGGCAAUUGCAUAUGCACACUGAUUUCCUGAUGUGCUAUUACUCCCAAGUAGAACUUCAACAAUGCAAAAAUAAAAAUGGGAGUAAUCCACUGGGAAUUUCUUUGCAGGUUACCAUCAGAGGCCAGGAUGCACUAUCACCCGAACCAAGUCUUAAGCGCUUCCUGCAAAGCAAGGGCAGUAAAGGUAGAAUCAUAGAAUCAUAGAAUCAUAGAGUUGGAAGAGACCACAAGGGCCAUCGAGUCCAACCCCCUGCCAAGCAGGAAACACCAUCAGAGCACUCCUGACAUAUGGUUGUCAAGCCUCUGCUGAAAGACCUCCAAAGAAGGAGACUCCACCACACUCCUUGGCAGCAAAUUCCACUGUCGAACAGCUCUUACUGUCAGGAAGUUCUUCCUAAUGUUUAGGUGGAAUCUUCUUUCUUGUAGUUUGGAUCCAUUGCUCCGUGUCCGCUUCUCUGGAGCAGCAGAAAACAACCUUUCUCCCUCCUCUAUGUGACAUCCUUUUAUAUAUUGGAACAUGGCUAUCAUAUCACCCCUUAACCUCGUCUUCUCCAGGCUAAACAUGCCCAGCUCCCUUAGCCGUUCCUCAUAAGGCAUCGUUUCCAGGCCUUUGACCAUUUUGGUUGCCCUCCUCUGGACACGUUCCAGUUUGUCAGUGUCCUUCUUGAACUGUGGUGCCCAGAACUGGACACAGUACUGCAGGUGAGGUCUGACCAGAGCAGAAUACAGUGGCACUAUUACUUCCCUUGAUCUAGAUGCUAUACUCCUAUUGAUGCAGCCCAGAAUUACAUUGGCUUUUUUAGCUGCCGCGUCACACUCUUGGCUCAUGUCAAGUUUGUGGUCAACCAAGACUCCUAGAUCCUUUUCACAUGUACUGCUCUCAAGCCAGGUGUCACCCAUCUUGUAUUUGUGCCUCUCAUUUUUUUUGCCCAAGUGCAACACUUUACAUUUCUCCCUGUUAAAAUUCAUCUUGUUUAUUUUGGCCCAGUUCUCUAAUCUGUCAAGGUCGUUUUGAAGUGUGAUCCUGUCCUCUGGGGUGUUAGCCACCCUCCCAGUUUGGUGUCAUCUGCAAAUUUGAUCAGGAUGCCCUUGAGUCCAUCAUCCAAGUCGUUGAUAAAGAUGUUGAAUAAGACCGGGCCCAAGACUGAACCCUGUGGCACCCCACUAGUCACUCUUCUCCAGGAUGAAGAGGAACCAUUGAUGAGCACCCUUUGGGUUCGGUCAGUCAGCCAGUUACAAAUCCACUGAGUGGUAGCAUAGUCAAGACCGCAUUUUACCAGCUUCUUUACAAGAAUAUCAUGGGGCACCUUGUCAAAUGCCUUGCUGAAAUCAAGGUAGGCUACAUCCACUGCGUUCCCUUCAUCUACCAGGCUUGUAAUUCUGUCAAAAACAAGAUCAGGUUAGUCUGACAUGACUUAUUUUUCAGAAAUCCAUGCUGACUAUUGGUGAUCACAGCAUUCCUUUCUAGGUGCUCACAGACUGUUUGCUUAAUGAUCUGCUCCAGAAUCUUCCCUGGUAUUGAUGUCAGACUGACUGGGCGGUAAUUAUUUGGGUCCUCUCUUUUCCCCUUUUUGAAAAUAGGGACAACAUUUGCCCUCCUCCAGUCUGCCGGGACUUCGCCUGUUCUCCAGGAAUUCUCAAAGAAUGUGGUUCUGAGAUCACAUCUGCCAGUUCUUUUAAUACUCUUGGAUGCAGUUCAUCUGGCCCUGGAGACUUGAAUACAUCUAGACUAGCGAAGUAUUCUUGUACUAUCUCCUUAGUUAUUCUGGGCUGUGUUUCCUCUGCUGAAUCAUUUGCUCCAAAUUCUUCAGGUCGGGCAUUGUUUUCUUUAUCGGAGAAGACUGAGGCAAAGAAGGCAUUGAGGAGUUCAGCCCUUUCUGUGUCCCCUGUUUGCAUUUCACCAUCUUCUCCCUGAGUGACCCCACUGUUUCUUUGUUCUUCCUUUUGCUACGAACAUACCCAUAAAAGCCUUUUUUGUUGCUUUUAACCUCUCUAGCAAGCCUGAGUUCAUUCUGUGCUUUAGCUUUUCUGACUUUGUGUCUACAUGUGCUGGCUAUUUGUUUGAAUUCCUCUUUGGUGGUUCCCCCCCUUUUCCAUUUUUUGUACACAUCCCUUUUUAAUCUUAACUCAGUUAAAAGUUCUUUAGAUAGCCACCCUGGCUUCUUUAGGCACCUUCCAUGUUUCCGUCUCAUUGGUAUUGCCUGACGUUGUGCUUUUACUAUCUCCCUCUUAACAAACUCCCAGCCAUCAUGAACUCCCUUUCCUUUUAGUAUUACUGUCCAUGGGAUCUCACCCAACACUUCCCUAAGUUUUAUGAAGUCGGCUUUCUUAAAGUCAAGAAAUUGAGUCCUAGUAUGCUUGGCUGCUCCUUUCCGCUGUAUAGUAAACUUCAGAAGAGCAUGAUCACUCGCGCCUAAUGAUCCUUCCACUUCUACCCCACUAACCAGGUCAUCAACAUUGGUUAGGACCAGAUCUAAAAUGGCUGUUCCUCUUGUUGCUUCUCCCACUUUCUGGACAAUGAAGUUGUCUGCAAGGCCAGUGAGGAAUCAGUGAGGUAAUUUGCAAUCAUGGCUGGAUUUUCCACCAUGCUGUUGGUAGGAGUUACCUGCCACAUUAUCAAGUCAAGAAGAAAGGUUCAGUUUAGCCUUGACCUGAAAUAUUGUUUGUCUAUGUGCAGGGUUGUUUUUGUUUAUUUGUUUGACACAUGGGGGGUGUUUAAACAUGCAACUCCCACUCCCACUUAUGGCCUGAAAGUGGUGCAGUCCAGGAAAUAAGUUUAACCCUUGGUUUGGGUGAUGGUAUCAACUAGUCGCUAUUGAACUAAAACAAAGGAUCUGCUCUCUUGUGUAGCUCUCCGUGACUUGACUUUGGAUAUAUAGGAGGUCUUGCUGGGGCCCUGCACCCCUUCUGUUUACCAGGCUGCCUGGCAGAGAGCUGUCUGAUAGCCUCCUAUAUUUUGGGGAUAGGAAUGUGUUUAUUUCUCCCCAGUGAAUCCAAAUACAGUAUAUAUAGCAAUGUUUCUUCCACAACUGAGUGGGAAUAUCUUCAUAACAACUCUGGGUAUUUAUUUCAUUACAAUGAAUGAUGUGCCUGCCCAAAAUUUCUGGGCACAUAUUGCUUUGAAUAUUGGAGAAGUGGAACAUUCAUCUGUGGCUUGGGGCUGGUCUACAUAUUACUCUAAACACACCAAAGUGCCUAUAGGUUAUAACCUUUGUCCCUUUAUGAUCACAACAUAUCGCACCAUCAAGAAGCAUAUUCUCUUCCACAUCAUCUGGGGUGCAUGACUAACAGCACAGCACCUUUUGGGGCUGAUGUAUUCGGACCAACACCAGCACCUUCCACAGCGUGGAGAAGCCCCAUGUGAAGAGGAAGUAGGAUGUGGUUACUGGUACACCAUGCCAUUCAGCUAGGGAUGAACACUUGGCUCUCAUUCCUAGGCUUGCCUUUCCCAUUGCCUCCUCAGUAUUUGUAACCAUCCCUUCCCCUGCCCUUUGGUACCACCCAGCACUGUCAAAAUGAGAUUGUAAGUGGGGAUCUGCGAAAAUGCUGCCGUGUAUCCUCAACUCCUGACAGGGGUGUUUCUGUCCAGGGCUCUUCCCGGCCUGGAACAGGAGCCUUGCUAUGAGAUGAUGUUUCAGGAGAAACAUCACCCUCCAGAAACCUCCCCUUACUAAAAGGCUCAAGCAGCAACACAGAGGUGCUUCUGCAUGGUAAAUGCAAUGUGUAGACCACCUCCAGGUCCUAUGUCUGUUGAAGCCACAACUGUGUAUACUGCUUUUAGUUACUUGUACAUAUAUACUGAAAUCUUUGUGUGAUUACAGGAAUGAAAGUAUGUGAAUAUCACAUGUUUACAUACAUAUCUUCACUUUGAGGGUGAAAAAUGGCAGCACUUGCCAUCACUUCACUCUCAUCCGUUUUCCGAGCAGCACCUCAAAGCUUUCAUGGGUCAUGUUUUUUGGAUUUUUUUAAAUGAAUCACUACAUCAAAGUAUUGCAGUUGUACAGUCAUAUGUUGAUCUCUACUUGCUCUACUGUAAUAUUUUUUAAAAUGUUAUUUUGUACUGCAUAGAUUUAUAUAUUGUGACAAUGUUCCUAAUCAACAAACAGAAAAGACAGACAAUUAACAAAUGUCAAAUGUCAACUUGUAUGCAUGAUUAGUGAUGUUUGCAUUUCUAAAUAAAAUUAAUAAUUAAGAC